AUUGAACGCUGGCGGCAUGCCUUACACAUGCAAGUCGAACGGUAACGGGCCUUCGGGUGCCGACGAGUGGCGAACGGGUGAGUAAUACAUCGGAACGUGCCCGAUCGUUGUGGAUAACGAGGCUAAAGCUUUGCUAAUACCCCAUACGAUCUACGGAUUAAAGCAGGGUACUGCAAGGCCUUGCUCGGACCGUGCUGCCGAUGGCAGAUUAGUUAGUUGUUGGGAUAAAAGUUUACCAAGCCCACGAUCUCGAGCUGGUCUGAUAGGAUGAUCAGCCACACUGGAACUGAGACACGGCCCAGACGCCUACGGGAGGCAGCAGUGGGGAAUUUUGGACAAUGGGCGCAAGCCUGAUCCAGCCAUGCCGCGUGCAGGAUGAAGGCCUUCGGGUUGUAAACUGCUUUUGUACGGAACGAAAAGCCUUCUUUUAAUACAGGAGGGUCAUGACGGUACCGUAAGAAUAAGCACCGGCUAACUACGUG
rnacentral:rRNA from 1 species